AGAGUUUGAUCCUGGCUCAGGAUGAACGCUGGCGGCGUGCCUAACACAUGCAAGUCGAGCGAUUUACUUCGGUAAAGAGCGGCGGACGGGUGAGUAACGCGUGGGUAACCUGCCCUGUACACACGGAUAACAUACCGAAAGGUAUGCUAAUACGAGAUAAUAUGUUUUUAUCGCAUGGUAGAAGUAUCAAAGCUUUUGCGGUACAGGAUGGACCCGCGUCUGAUUAGCUAGUUGGUAAGGUAACGGCUUACCAAGGCUACGAUCAGUAGCCGACCUGAGAGGGUGAUCGGCCACAUUGGAACUGAGACACGGUCUAAACUCCUACGGGAGGCAGCAGUGGGGAAUAUUGCACAAUGGGCGAAAGCCUGAUGCAGCAACGCCGCGUGAGCGAUGAAGGCCUUCGGGUCGUAAAGCUCUGUCCUCAAGGAAGAUAAUGACGGUACUUGAGGAGGAAGCCCCGGCUAACUACGUGCCAGCAGCCGCGGUAAUACGUAGGGGGCUAGCGCUAUCCGGAAUUACUGGGCGUAAAGGGUGCGUAGGUGGUUUCUUAAGUCAGAGGUGAAAGGCUACGGCUCAACCGUAGUAAGCCUUUGAAACUGGGAAACUUGAGUGCAGGAGAGGAGAGUGGAAUUCCUAGUGUAGCGGUGAAAUGCGUAGAUAUUAGGAGGAACACCGGUUGCGAAGGCGGCUCUCUGGACUGUAACUGACACUGAGGCACGAAAGCGUGGGGAGCAAACAGGAUUAGAUACCCCGGUAGUCC
rnacentral:rRNA from 1 species